CCGUACUUAUAAAACUCCACAAAGAUGCCGUCUUAGUUAGGAAAAGUACUUAACCUACGAGACUUAAGCGCUAAGAAUCUUUCCUAGCAGGAUGCUUUGUUAAGUAACCGUCUUUAGGCGCUUACAUAGCUAACCGCUAACAUGAGCAGACGUUAUGUAAUGUUUUUUGAGGAAUUUCGCAAGAAACGGGUGAAAAUACGUAAAAAUUAUAUUAUAAAUAAAAAACAUAUUUAUCUAGUUAGUUUUCAAUAAUCACCUCUUCAUUUUAACCUUGAUAAUUGAAGGUAUAAAUUUACCACCACUGUUGUCAUCUUGUCAAAACAACAAUCAUUUGGCGCCAACUUCGACUGCACACCAUGGCUACUGAAGAGACUCAAGACAAGAAAAGGAACAGAAAGACGAACUGGACGCCUUCAUCUGGCCCACCUAUACAAAAUUCUCGCAAAAAUACUCCAGAGCGACUUCUCCACAGCUGGCUGCUCUAAGGAAGCCAGAAAUGCUGCUUGGAGGAGCAAUAGUGCGGAGGUGUCUGCCGUGUCAGACAUUCUCCGCACUAGGGAGUGCCAGAAACAUUGGCAUAUUAUAAAAUCUGAGGCAAGACGGAACACCCGCAAGCAGAGAGAAGCCAUGACUGCCACAGAUGGUGGACCUCCUGCCAACCCUCCUCUCUCCCAGCACAAUGAGUUAAUCUUUGAGAUUUUGGACCCUAAGAAUGUCUCUAUUCAUGGGUGUACCAAUAAGGCAAGCAUCAUUGAAUGCACCUUCCUUAACAAAGGAUAAGCCACUUGUAGAUAUAGCAAUAUUAGGCCAUAAUGUUGUCUCAAAUGUCUGCAAUCCAAAAUACUCGUUCCCAUUUAGUUUACAACUUAGAGUUAAACACAAUGGUAAAUUUGUUAUCUAGUGUUGAGAAAA